rnacentral:rRNA from 1 species
GAGAGUGGAACUCCAUGUGUAGCGGUGAAAUGCGUAGAUAUAUGGAAGAACACCAGUGGCGAAAGCGGCUCUCUGGUCUGUAACUGACGCUGAGGUUCGAAAGCGUGGGUAGCAAACAGGAUUAGAUACCCUGGUAGUCCACGCCGUAAACGAUGAAUGCUAGGUGUUGGAGGGUUUCCGCCCUUCAGUGCCGCAGCUAACGCAAUAAGCAUUCCGCCUGGGGAGUACGACCGCAAGGUUGAAACUCAAAGGAAU